AAUAUAUUUUGCGGGAGCUCGUAGGCGGGCUGAGAGGAAGAAAUUAUCUUCGACCGAUAAACCUGAUUUGGGUAAUGCCAACGUAGGGAUGAAUAUUCUGCCAUUA
rnacentral:ncRNA from 2 species